GAGUUUGAUCCUGGCUCAGGACGAACGCUAGCGGCGUGCUUAACACAUGCAAGUCGAGCGGUAAGGCCCUUCGGGGUACACGAGCGGCGAACGGGUGAGUAACACGUGGGUGAUCUGCCUUGCACUUCGGGAUAAGCCUGGGAAACUGGGUCUAAUACCGGAUAUGACCACUGAUCGCAUGGUUAGUGGUGGAAAGAUUUAUCGGUGCGAGAUGGGCCCGCGGCCUAUCAGCUUGUUGGUGAGGUAACGGCUCACCAAGGCGACGACGGGUAGCCGACCUGAGAGGGUGACCGGCCACACUGGGACUGAGACACGGCCCAGACUCCUACGGGAGGCAGCAGUGGGGAAUAUUGCACAAUGGGCGAAAGCCUGAUGCAGCGACGCCGCGUGCGGGAUGACGGCCUUCGGGUUGUAAACCGCUUUUGACAGGGACGAAGCGCAAGUGACUGUACCUGUAGAAUAAGGACCGGCCAACUAC
rnacentral:rRNA from 1 species